rnacentral:rRNA from 1 species
UUAGGAUGGGACUGCGACCGAUCAGGUNGUUGGUGGGGUAAUGGCNUACCAAGCCGAUUACCGGUGCGGGCUUUGAGAGAAGGAGCCCGNAGAUGGACANUGAGAAAAGGGUCCAGGCCCUACGGGGCGCAGCAGGCGCGAAAACUUUGCAAUGUGCGAAAGCACGACAAGGUUAAUCCGAGUGCAACAUGCUGAAUGUAGCUUUUGGUAAAUGUAAAUAGUUUAUUGAAUAAGGGGAGGGAAAGUCUGGUGUCAGCCGCCGCGGUAAUACCAGCUCCCCGAGUGGUCGGGNCGAUUAUUGGGCCUAAAGCAUCCGUAGCCUGUUCUGUAGGUCUUAUGUUAAAAUCAAUUGCUUAACAAUUGAACUGCAUGAGAUACCACAAAACUAGGAGGCGGGAGAGGUGGACGGUACUCCACGGGUAGGGGUAAAAUCCCCUGAACCGUGGAAGACCACCAGUGGCGAAGGCGGUCCACCAGAACGCGCUCGACGGUGAGGGAUGAAAGCUGGGGUAGCGAACCGGAUUAGAUACCCGGGUAGUCCCAGCUGUAAACGAUGCAAGCUAGGUGAUGCAUCAGCCACGUGUUGAUGCAGUGCCGCAGGGAAGCCGUUAAGCUUGCCGCCUGGGGAGUACGGUCGCAAGGCUGAAACUUAAAGGAAUUGGCGGGGGAGCACCACAAGGGGUGAAGCCUGCGGCUCAAUUGGAGUCAACGCCGGGAACCUUACCAGGAGAGACAGCAGAGUGAAGGUCAAGCUGAAGACUUUACCAGACAAGCUGAGAGGAGGCGCAUGGCCGUCGACAGCUCGUGCCGUGAGGCGUCCUGUUAAGUCAGGCAACGAGCGAGACCCUUGCCAUUAAUUGCUUCCAUCGAUCGAAAGGUUGGCGGAGCUAGUUAAUGGGACUGCCGUUGAUAAAACGGAGGAAGGAAGGGGCCACGGCAGGUCAGUAUGCCCCGAAACUCUUGGGCCACACGCGGGCUGCAAUGGUAGGCACAAUAGGUACCGAAUUCGAGAGAAUGAGGCAAUCCCAAAAUCCUACCCCAGUUGUGAUUGAGGGCUGCAACUCGCCCUCAUGAAUCUGGAAUCCCUAGUAACCGCGUGUCAACAUCGCGCGGUGAAUACGUCCCUGCUCCUUGCACACACCGCCCGUCGCUUCACCCGAGUUGGGUUUGGGGGAGAUAGUGUCUUAUUGACAUUAUCGA